UACGGAGGGGGCUAGCGUUGUUCGGAAUUACUGGGCGUAAAGCGCACGUAGGCGGCUUUGUAAGUUAGAGGUGAAAGCCCAGGGCUUAACCCUGGAAUUGCCUUUAAGACUGCAUCGCUAGAAUCGUGGAGAGGUGAGUGGAAUUCCGAGUGUAGAGGUGAAAUUCGUAGAUAUUCGGAGGAACACCAGUGGCGAAGGCGGCUCACUGGACCAUUACUGACGCUGAGGUGCGAAAGCGUGGGGAGCAAACAGGG
rnacentral:rRNA from 1 species